GACGAACGCUGGCGGCGUGCUUAACACAUGCAAGUCGAACGGAAAGGCCCUGCUUUUGUGGGGUGCUCGAGUGGCGAACGGGUGAGUAACACGUGAGUAACCUGCCCUUGACUUUGGGAUAACUUCAGGAAACUGGGGCUAAUACCGGAUAGGAGCUCCUGCUGCAUGGUGGGGGUUGGAAAGUUUCGGCGGUUGGGGAUGGACUCGCGGCUUAUCAGCUUGUUGGUGGGGUAGUGGCUUACCAAGGCUUUGACGGGUAGCCGGCCUGAGAGGGUGACCGGCCACAUUGGGCCUGGGCUACGGCCCAGACUCCUACGGGAGGCAGCAGUGGGGAGUAUUGCACAAUGGGCGGAAGCCUGAUGCAGCAACGCCGCGUGCGGGAUGACGGCCUUCGGGUUGUAAACCGCUUUCGCCUGUGACGAAGCGUGAGUGACGGUAAUGGGUAAAGAAGCACCGGCUAACUACGUG
rnacentral:rRNA from 1 species